rnacentral:rRNA from 1 species
GCUUACGGCCAUACCAGCCUGCGCCCGAUCUCGUCCGAUCUCGGAAGCUAAGCAGGGUCAGGCCUGGUUAGUACUUGGAUGGGUGACCGCCUGGGAAUACCAGGUGCUGUAAGCUU